UACGUAGGGUGCAAGCGUUGUCCGGAAUUAUUGGGCGUAAAGAGCUUGUAGGCGGUUUGUCGCGUCUGCUGUGAAAUUUCGGGGCUCAACCCCGAACUUGCAGUGGGUACGGGCAGACUAGAGGUAUGCAGGGGAGAACGGAAUUCCUGGUGUAGCGGUGAAAUGCGCAGAUAUCAGGAGGAACACCGGUGGCGAAGGCGGUUCUCUGGGACGGUACUGACGCUGAGACGCGAAAGCGUGGGGAGCGAACAGG
rnacentral:rRNA from 1 species